GCCAGUGUGCAUAGUGGUUUGAGUAUGGGACUACAACUCUGGAGACCAGGGUUCAAUUCCCUGCUCGGCCA
rnacentral:tRNA from 1 species